UAGCUCAAGACGAAAUGCUGCGUUUCGGUUUCACAUUUUCGGCGUUCUUCGGUUAAGCGCCGCUAAUAGCGGGCUAUAGCGGCGUUUUCCUAAAGCGCCACUAUUGGCUCUAUGCCUCAAUACCAAACGCUGCGUUUUGGUCCACAUAUUUUGCGGCGCUUUUUCACUAGCGCCGCUAAUGAUGUACUUCAGCGGUGUUUUUAUAGAAGCGCCACUAAUUCUACUAUACCUCAAUAUUGUACGCUGCGUUUUGUUUAACAUUUUUUGCAGCGCUUACAAACAAACGCCGCUAAUUGUGC
rnacentral:lncRNA from 1 species